rnacentral:rRNA from 1 species
AGACCCGAAACCCGGUGAUCUAGCCAUGGGCAGGUUGAAGGUUGGGUAACACUAACUGGAGGACCGAACCGACUAAUGUUGAAAAAUUAGCGGAUGACCUGUGGCUGGGGGUGAAAGGCCAAUCAAACCGGGAGAUAGCUGGUUCUCCCCGAAAGCUAUUUAGGUAGCGCCUCGUGAAUUCAUCUCCGGGGGUAGAGCACUGUUUCGGCUAGGGGGCCAUCCCGGCUUACCAACCCGAUGCAAACUGCGAAUACCGGAGAAUGUUAUCACGGGAGACACACGGCGGGUGCUAACGUCCGUCGUGAAGAGGGAAACAACCCAGACCGCCAGCUAAGGUCCCAAAGUCAUGGUUAAGUGGGAAACGAUGUGGGAAGGCCCAGACAGCCAGGAUGUUGGCUUAGAAGCAGCCAUCAUUUAAAGAAAGCGUAAUAGCUCACUGGUCGAGUCGGCCUGCGCGGAAGAUGUAACGGGGCUAAACCAUGCACCGAAGCUGCGGCAGCGAACGUAUCACUUAAAGCGAUUCAGCGGAUGACGAUUGACGGAGCGAAGCGACGUCAAAGCGUAUACAAAGUCGAGUCGGUUUAAGGAUACGUUCGUUGGGUAGGGGAGCGUUCUGUAAGCCUGUGAAGGUGGCCUGUGAGGGUUGCUGGAGGUAUCAGAAGUGCGAAUGCUGACAUAAGUAACGAUAAAGCGGGUGAAAAGCCCGCUCGCCGGAAGACCAAGGGUUCCUGUCCAACGUUAAUCGGGGCAGGGUGAGUCGACCCCUAAGGCGAGGCCGAAAGGCGUAGUCGAUGGGAAACGGGUUAAUAUUCCCGUACUUGGUGUUACUGCGAAGGGGGGACGGAGAAGGCUAUGUUGGCCGGGCGACGGUUGUCCCGGUUUAAGCGUGUAGGCUGGUUUUCCAGGCAAAUCCGGAAAAUCAAGGCUGAGGCGUGAUGACGAGGCACUACGGUGCUGAAGCAACAAAUGCCCUGCUUCCAGGAAAAGCCUCUAAGCAUCAGGUAACACGAAAUCGUACCCCAAACCGACACAGGUGGUCAGGUAGAGAAUACCAAGGCGCUUGAGAGAACUCGGGUGAAGGAACUAGGCAAAAUGGUGCCGUAACUUCGGGAGAAGGCACGCUGACACGUAGGUGAAGUGAUUUACUCAUGGAGCUGAAGUCAGUCGAAGAUACCAGCUGGCUGCAACUGUUUAUUAAAAACACAGCACUGUGCAAACACGAAAGUGGACGUAUACGGUGUGACGCCUGCCCGGUGCCGGAAGGUUAAUUGAUGGGGUCAGCGCAAGCGAAGCUCCUGAUCGAAGCCCCGGUAAACGGCGGCCGUAACUAUAACGGUCCUAAGGUAGCGAAAUUCCUUGUCGGGUAAGUUCCGACCUGCACGAAUGGCGUAAUGAUGGCCAGGCUGUCUCCACCCGAGACUCAGUGAAAUUGAACUCGCUGUGAAGAUGCAGUGUACCCGCGGCAAGACGGAAAGACCCCGUGAACCUUUACUAUAGCUUGACACUGAACAUUGAGCCUUGAUGUGUAG